UACGGGAGGGGCAAGCGUUGUUCGGAAUUACUGGGCGUAAAGGGCUCGUAGGCGGCCAACUAAGUCGGAUGUGAAAUCCCCAGGCUCAACUCUGGGAACUGCAUCCGAUACUGGAUGGCUUGAAUUCGGGAGAGGGAUGCAGAAUUCCAGGUGUAGCGGUGAAAUGCGUAGAUAUCGGGAGGAACACCUGUGGCGAAGGCGGCCCCCUGGUUGGAUACUGACGCUGAUACGCGAAAGCGUGGGGAGCAAACAGG
rnacentral:rRNA from 1 species